UGACCUGCUUUACUCUAAAUUGCUCCCCUAUUGCUCUUCACGGUGAUGAUGGUACGUACAAGAUGGCCGAUGGCUCUCAGGGCAUUGGAAGGUCUCAAGCUUUCACCUCUUUCGAUUUGGUUUCAGACAACUAUAAUGGCAUCGAGAUACAUUUUGCGGGCACUAUCUGAUCUGGCACUAGUUUUUCUGGCAAACCCAUGUGGCCCCCUGCACAUGCCAAUAACAGUGCAUUCCUUCUCUCUUCUAAUAGCUCGCAAAAUAGGUAUUUCUCGUACCUUUGUACUCUACAAUGCAGGUUCUACAAAUUUUGAAGGUGGCUUUAAGGAUUAUGUGGAUACGAAUCAAAUUAAUGGAAGGCUAUUCUAGGACCGCAUGCAGGCAUUUAAAUCUCGACGUGACCACUACCCAAGGGCUCAUUUACAAGGCACGAUUCAUGGUGUGAUUGGGUCCGACGCUGGCAGAAAGGAUUCUAUUCCAUACAAUUUCACUGAUCCUUAUGCUGGGAAGAGUGACCACACAUACCGUGGUUCUGUCAUAUGGGUAUGCCAGUCCACAUCCAUUCAAGAAAUUUAUCUAAAGGAAUUGGUUGGCGAUAGGGAAGACUUCAUGCAUUGAUUUGUAGAUUCACCGAGGGUUUCAUAGAAUUUUCCUGCAAAUUCUGCCCAUUCUUCCUCAUCAGCAUGGUCGACAGUACAACACAAUUUGUGCAGAAUCUUGAGGUAAGUCACUUGCCAUGGUUUAAGUGAAUUUUAUUUUUGGAAAUCUGCAUACAGCUUGUUCGUUUUUUGCUGUGUUUCAUUUUAAUCUAAAACAGAUAAAUGGUUUAAAAAAUGGCUUCUUACUUAUCUUCUGCACCACUUUUCUCGAUUGUCUCUGUGGACAAGCUGAGGCUACAAGGACACCCAAGGCUGAAAUUACACAGCAAUUUCAGUCUCCUUGCAAUUCACUGCACUUAUCUGUAGUCAAAUUCUUUAUCCCUAACUUAGUCUAAUUACAAAAUUAAUCUGGUCUAUCUGGCCAACUAUCUUUUGGCAAGGGUUGACUCCCACACAACCUCAUGGCAAUAUAGAGAACAUGCUUUGGCCGACUUCACAUGUGAAAUAAAAAUUAGAAAAGGGGCACAUAUACCAUUCAAGUUUAGGGGCAAGGAAAAAAUGAAUUAGAAAUAGUAGAAAAUAAUAUAAGAAGGCAGCGAUCUCAGUAGUUAGCAGCAGUUAAUUAGGGCAGCGAUUAAGAAGUGGAUAAGAGCGAGGUUUGGUGAAGAAACGUCAUUUGAAGAGACAUGGUUAAGAAGGGUUACGUCCAUUGGGAAAAGGACAGCUGCUUCCAAAAGGUUGUAAAGAUAUAAAAUAGGGAAGACCCAAUGGAGGAAAGGCAUAAAAAAGGACAGAUUAUAAAAGUCAAUCAGGAUCAGCACUCGCAAGGGCAGAAAGGGAAUAAGAUCGAAAGAGUUAAUCUGACAAAAGCAGGUCGGAACAAGGUUGAGAUUCCAUCUAUAUAGCAGAAGUAAUAUUAAUUGUGGUGUAUGGCAUAUCUCUUCCAUCUAUAGCAGGCUUGAGCAGAGGUAAAGAGCAGAUAAGGAGGCAGAUUUAUGAAGAUAUAUUAAUCCGCCCUAAAGGCAGAAUGCUGAGUAUUACUGCAGAUGCGUAAACAUGUUACAAGCAGAUCUAAAAAGGGAAGAAGAGUAAGAGGCAUUCGAUCAGGCAAUCAGAAUUAAAAGAAGAUAAAGCAGUCAUUUAAAGAGCAUCCAUAGGAUCAACAUCUGCAGCACUCAUCCAAUCAGACAAAGGUUAUUAAGGACAGCAAACACAAGCAAAGGGGAUCAGAACAGUAAUAGAUCAGAUUCAAACUCUUCAUGUCAAACAAUUAAUAGCAUAAUAACUGUUGUUGUGGACUUAAAUUGAGGCUCAACGGGUUUAAAGGAGAUAUUUUAUUUGGUAAAGUUAUAACCCUAACCCCAAUAAGGGACAUUAUAACACCUCAGAAUAAUAUAAGUUAUAUAGAUGAAUAAUCCCAUUGUGCUUGCAUAACGAGGGUCUCAUACACCAAAUUCUUGUUUCACUCGGUGAUGAUGAUGGCCUAAGGAUGCUAUGUUACCUUUACAUUUAUUCAAUAGUACCUCUUCACUGCUUUGAUCA